rnacentral:rRNA from 1 species
UACGUAGGGGGCAAGCGUUGUCCGGAUUUAUUGGGCGUAAAGAGCGUGUAGGCGGCUAGGUAGGUGGGUUGUGGAACUGGAGGCUCAACCUUCAGACGUCGACCCAAACCCCCUGGCUAGAGUCCGGAAGAGGAGAGUGGAAUUCCUGGUGUAGCGGUGAAAUGCGCAGAUAUCAGGAAGAACACCCGUGGCGGAAGGCGGCUCUCUGGGACGGUACUGACGCUGAGACGCGAAAGCGUGGGGAGCGAACAGG